AGAUGAAUGCAUAUUAGGCUUCAAUGUUGCUUAUACUAUGACUAAUGGUUCAUACGAUGCCAUUUUUAUAAAUAUCUAUGCCAAAUUUAAUGAAAUCGACUUGAAAAUGUGUGUCGCCAGGUACCAAAUAAGAAAAAAAUCAGCAUUUUUAUGUAGGAUCUUCACACGGUAAAAUUGUUUGUGCCCAAAUAAUAAUACAUGUAGAUGAAUGCAUAUUAGGCUUCAAUGUUGCUUAUACUAUGACUACUUGUUCAUACGAUGCCAUUUUUUAAAAUAUCUAUGCCAAAUUUAAUGAAAAAGACUUGAAAAUGUGUGUCGCCAGGUACCAAGUAAGAAAAAAAUCAGCAUUUUUAUGUAGGGUCUUCACACAGUAAAAUUAUUUGUGCCCAAUUAAUAAUAGAUGAAUGCAUAUUAGGCUUCAAUGUUGCUUAUACUAUGACUACUGGUUCAUACGAUGCCAAUUUUAUAAAUAUCUAUGCCAAAUUUAAUGAAAUAGACUUGAAAAUGUGUGUCGCCAGGUACCAAGUAAGAAAAAAAUCAGCAUUUUUAUGUAGGGUCUUCACACAGUAAAAUUAUUUGUGCCCAAAUAAUAAUAGAUAAAUGCAUAUUAGGCUUCAAUGCAGGGUUGGCAUAUUGACCGGUCAAUUGAGUAUUGACCGGGCCGGCGGUCAAUACCUGGUUAAAACCGGUCAAUACUGGUCAUUACUGGUCGAUUGAAAAUUGUAGCAUUUAAACAUUACAAAGGAGCCAUUUUAUAUAAAAUCAAUAAUUAUUCUGUAAUUGAUAAACUUUUUUCUGAGUUAUUUAUUUUUAAAAAAAUCUUUAAAGCUGUUAAAAGUUACUUCUUAAUUAUUUAUGGAAACAGCCUCAAAUACAUAAGGACUAAGGCAAUAUCUUUAUCUCAGUGUAUCACAUCUGUUACUAAUUAGCCGGAUUUUACAUAAAUUCCAGGUUGAUAAACACAACAAGGUAAAGGUACCUUGUAGUCGGUGAGAUAUAAUAAUAAUACAGUUAGUAAGGCUCGUACCCUGGGUACGGUAAAUAUACUAAAACGUACGCGGAAAUUUUAACACUAAAUCGGUUGUUGUCGGCUAUUUUGUAAAAAUUAAUUAUGUUUACAUUUAUGUCAAUUUUCUGUUAAAUGGCAUUUAUAUUAUCAAAACUCAUUGUUAAAAUCAAUAAUGUGAUUUAAUUUUAAAUCUUAAAUUGUUUAAAGUCGCGUCAUUGUAUGACGUCGUCAAGUAUAAUAUUUUCCGCGACAUCGCACGUUCACUUUUUACCGUCAUAGAUUUUUUUAAAGAAACAUUAUUUGGUUACCAAGGUCCGUUAAAUGGGGAACACCAUAUUCGGUAUUUAUAUUAUGUUUUAACAAUUAAUUAAUGCUGUGUAAUAAAUAUUGUUUAAGAUAUUUCUAUAUUUAUUGAAAAUGUUUCAAAAUGUUAUUUAUGAAACAUCUUAUUCUAAUGAGUGUAUGCUAUUAUAUUAUACUUUGAAAAGCAUAUCUGUUGUACUAUAAUCUUAUUAUUCAUUUAUUACUGUUAAUUUCAUUUAUUGUAGAGAAUCGUCAAUGUUACAUCUAGUCGCCAAUGCUUGUUGUCAGUGUUAGUCUUAAAUGCUUGUGAUCAUUGUCGUCGAUGUUAGUCGUCAAUCCUUAUCGUCAUUAUACAUGAAGGAAAUAAAAGCAGAAACAGA